rnacentral:rRNA from 1 species
GACGAACGGUGGCGGCGUGCUUAACACAUGCAAGUCGAACGGAAAGGCCUGUCCUUCCUUGUGUUGGACGGGUACUCGAGUGGCGAACGGGUGAGUAACACGUGAGUGAUCUGCCCCCAACUUGGGUAUAAGCCUGGGAAACUGGGUCUAAUUCCCGAUAGGACUGCAGGGUGGUGCCUGUGGUGGAAAACGAUUUUCUAGUGGUUGGGGAUGAGCUCGCGGCCUAUCAGCUUGUUGGUGGGGUAAUGGCCUACCAAGGCGGCGACGGGUAGCCGGCCUGGGAGUGUGGACGGCCACAUUGGGACUGAGAUACGGCCCAGACUCCUACGGGAGGCAGCAGUGGGGAAUAUUGCACAAUGGGCGGAAGCCUGAUGCAGCGACGCCGCGUGGGGGAUGACGGCCUUCGGGUUGUAAACUCCUUUCGACCGCGAGGAAGCCGCCUGGUUGGAAGGGUGGUGACGGUAGUGGUAGAAGAAGCACUGGCUAACUACGUG